UUCACCAUGGGAAAAAAAGAUUGGGUAGUGAGGCCAUUCACAAGAAGCAAAGAAAACUUGGGUCUAUUGAGAGAAGAGAAAAAAACAUUCAUUUUAUUUUAAAAUUUAUAUGUAUUUUAAAGACAUCUUUAAAAAUAACAUCUAGGCUGUUGCCCAGGCUGGAGUGCUGUGGUGCAAUUUUGGUUCAUUGCAGCCUCUGUCUCCUGGGUUCAAGUGACUCUCCUGCCUCAGCCUCCCAAGUAGCUGGGACUACAGUCAUGCACCACCACACCUGGCUAAUUUUUGUAUUUUUAAUAGAGAUGGGGUUUCACCAUGUUGGCCAGGCUGGUCUUGAACUCCUGACCUCAAGUGACCCACCCACCUUGGUCUCCCAAAGUGCUGGGAUUACAGGAGUGAGCCACUGUGCCUGGCCGCUAAUUUUUUUAUUUUGUUUUUUUGUAGAGAUGGCAUCUCUCUAUAUUGCCCAGGCUGGUCUCAAACUCCUGGCCUCAAGUGAUCCUCCCACCUCGACUUCCCAAAAUGCUGAGAUUACAGGCAUGAGCCACUGCACCUGGCCUCAUUUAUUUUAAGAUCAAAGAAAAACCUUCGAAAGCAGGAGAAGCUUCCUAGAUUAGACUGCCCUAAGAAGAUGAAGGAUUGUUGCCUAUGUGGAUUUUUAAUCUUUUUUUUUUUCUUUCUGGAACAUUUAUCUCUAUAUCCCAUAUCCUUAUAUUGAGCAAGAAUCUUUUAAAAUUUAUUUGAGAAUGAAAGCUUCACUUAUACAACUCAGCCAAACCGCAGUAAGUUCUCUACCAGAUGGUGCCCUCCCGCGCCCGCCCCCCUAACACAACCAGGAUCCAGAUGGGCAGUGGUCUGGGGCACAGAGCAAGUGCUGGAGCCCUGGGAACUGGGGGUGGGGGGUGGAGUUUCCUCAGCUUUCCCUUCUAUUUUCUUGGAAACAACUGGGCUUAUUUAAAGUUGGAUGGAAAUUUUUAUGAAGAACAAAAAUGAAAAUUUAGAGAAUCAGUUUGAGGUUUUGUUCUCUUGGACUCUAUAUUCACUAUAAGGGGAAACCUAAAAAUAAAUAAAAGCCUUGAGUUUUCUCUGGAGAGAGUGACAACUGAUACUCUAAGGUCCUUUCUUCUGCUUAGGGGCUGAAAACCCCACAGUUGAGGCAGACCAGAGUGAAGUUGGUCGUAGGAACUCUGGUGACCUAAAGGAGCGACCUUGAUCCAGGCUGACCAAGGAGUGCCACCUCAAACUCUGGUUUUUAAAAGAAAAUAGAUGGAAUUUUUUAUGUCCAAUCUUCUGAUAUGUAAAUAUGGGUGACUAAUUGAAAUAUGUAAAAGAUGCUGUUCGAAUGAACUGGAGCAGGAGAAACCCUAGAUCAUCUUGCUGAGUCUGUCAUUUUAGAGCUGGGAGUCUGAGGUCCAGAGGAAGAAUGACUUGCCAAGAUGAUGCCAGAAGUGAGACCAGAGCCUGCAGCUGCUGACUCAUGGUGGGGUUCUAUUAAUUGGCAUCAACUGAUGGCUUUUUCAAACAACUAAAAAAUAUUUAGACAUUUCUCCUUUGCUCUGGCACUGAUUGCUGCUGGAAAGACAUCUGAAACCCACCUGAUUUUUCUCCUUGUAAGUGAAUUAUUUUUGUCCUGAAUGUGAAAAAAAAUUUUUUUUUAGUUUAAUGGUUUAACCAGAAUGUGUCUGAAGGUUUGCUGUUAAGAGUUUUUUACUAAUAAGUGGUAUGUGCUUUCAGUCUUGCAGAUUCAGUCUUUAUUCUAAUUCCUAUAUGAGUUCACUAUUGUUAAAGUAAAUUAAAAUGAAGAGAGACCAGGCCUGAAGAAUCUCUGACUAGACAAAAGCAGUCAGGCCUCAUAAGUCAUCUUAACUUUGCUUAAUUUGCAAACGUUAGCGAAACUUAACUUUAGCCAUUUCUGGUAAAUGCUUAUGUUAGAAACAAAACUUAACCUCAGCCAAUUAUUGGCAGACAAAAAGUUUCUAAUUAUAUAACAAGGGACUUUUGAAUGCGAUGAAUCAAAUAAGAUAAUUUUGCAACUGCCACCAAUCAAAUAAUUUCUUUAUCUUGUUUCCGUAUUCACCCUAAAAAUAUUUGCCUCUGAUGCUAUGUCAUUAGAACACUGAACAUUUUUUUGGUCUGGCAUACCCCAAUUCAUGAAUUGCUUUUUCCUCAAACAAGCUCUUUAAAAUGUAAUUGUGUCUCCAAUUUUUCUUUUACACUAUUCAAAUACAGAUCUCUCAUCCUUUUGGAAUGUAUUCUGGUGUAGGGUCUAAGGGAUGGGUCCAGUGUCUUUUUCCUGAUGAUAUCCAGAUGUUAUCUGGGCAGUUUGAGUUUGAGGUGCUGAUGAAGCAUGCAGGUGAGGCUGAGUUCAGGGCCACUGUGAAUUCAGGGCUGGAGAGGGGUCAGGGACCAACGGACAGACCUGAGGGCCAUAGUAGGGACAUCUAAACAAGGAGACACAUGGGAUUGCAAAAGAAGGACAAGUCAGGACCAACAUGCACAGGGCCAAGUUCAAAACCUUGGGAGGCCUGUACAUUUAGGGAAUACAAAGGAGGGAAAGAGAUUGAAGAGGAUGAAGGCUAAGAAAAGACCAUUGGGUUGGGUCUUCAGAGAUUGGCCUGUAAAGGAGAUAAGCAUCAGAGCUUGGCGGCGAAGGGCAAGGGAAGGAGCAGAUGAUAACACAAGUGAGGCAGCUCUUCCCGGAGUGGUAUGACAGGAGAGGGGAAGGCGCAACUGUGAGGACUUCACAGGAGAAAGGGGUUUCUAUUAGGCAGAGUGAGGCUUUAGCAAUUUAGUGGACCUGUGAAAGGGGUCAGGGUGGGGAGAGGUGGAAGAUAAAGAGAAGGAAAACCACAACGAUGGAAAGGUGGGCAGGUAGGAGACAGGGUCAUAAGGCAGGAUGCAAGUAACAGAGCUUCUAUCUGAACCAUCUUAGGAAAAAGAGAUCAUUCACUGACUGGGCACGGUGGCUCACACCUCCGAGCACUUUGGGAGGCCAAAGCAGAAUUGCUUGAGCCCAGGAGUUCAAGACCAGCCUGGGCAAUAUGGGCCCAUGGAAAAGACGUCAUCACCAGAAGUCCAUGGUCCUCAAGGAAAGGUCAGCUGUGCAGGGGGUGAACUUGAACCUGCCUCACCUGUGAAAGUGACACAGUGAAGAGGCCGAUUUCAUGUCAGCACAGGUCUGAUGGGAACAUUCUAGCCUAUUCUAAAAAUGUUUGCACCUCCUCUCCUGGGAUAAGGCCCAUCUCAUGGGUGCCCCCUGACCCAGAGCACAUUCCCUUUCCAUAGUCUCAGUCCAGCUGUGUGUGAUUCUGCAUCUCUGCAGACACUCACACUUGCAUGGUCCACCUUCAGGCAAAGGUCCGGUAACCAUGCUGAGAGCAAACGCUGUUCUGGCCCUCAUGCCUGGCAUCUGCUGCAGCAGGCAAAGCACCGAGAGCCUUGACAAGCAAGGUGCCGGCUUCCCCUUCUGGCAUGAUUGUAAGUUACCUGAGGCCUCCCCAGCCACACAGAACUGUUUUGGUAUCAGGACGAUGCUGGCUUCGUAAAAUGUGUUAGGGAGGAUUCCCUCUUUUUCUAUCGAUUGGAAUAGUUUCAGAAGGAAUGGUACCAGUUCCUCCUUGUACCUCUGGUAGAAUUCAGCUGUGAAUCCAUCAGGUCCUGGACUCUUUUUGGUUGGUGACCUUGGUUUGGCCACUUUUUCAGGACUCUGAAUGCCAAAGAAGACUUACCUCCAGAAAUAUUAUAGAACCAGUUUGUUUUACUAUAAACUUACCAAUACCCAUGAUAGAGGGAUCACAUCCAGAUACAAAGUAGCCCACAAUUCUUGCCAGUGGUGUGAAGUUAUGUUUCUUAACAGCAUCUUCACUAGCUAUGAUAACAGCUCCAGCACCAUCAGCUAUCCCCUUGAAAAUAAAUAAAAAUACUGGAUUAACUAAAGGCUAAAAUAAUCCAGUUAAUCAAGGUUUGAACUAAUGGACUAGUAGUAUUAGGAAUAUGGCAGUACAUAGGAAGCCAGUGCACAGUGUGAGAUACAAUUGGAAAAGUGGUACUGUGGUGGAUGAAGGAGAUUUAAGGCACAGAAUACAACUUUACUAAAGAAAAAGGAAAAGAGUGUCAAGGAAAAACUUUUAUCUAGAUGUGAGUAGAUGUAAGAAGAAAUAUGAUGAACUGUAUGCAUGAGGGAAAAAAAGUUUGAAAACCAAAAUGAUAAGCCAGAUAGAUUUGCUUCUGAAAUUUCUUAGUUCUGAAAAAACUAAGAAAUCAGAAGAGUAUUAUAUAAAUAUGAAAAGAUUUUGUAUGGGACUAUGAAAACCUAAAUUAAUUGAAUAUGAACACUAUUAGUUUAAGCUAAACAACUAAAGACUGGCAUAAAAAGUAUUUACAAGAUACUUCAUGAUUAUUUUCAUUGAACAGACCAGGAAGAAUUCAAGCUAAUCUGUGUGGUGAUACCAACCGAUGCAUUCCCUGCAGUGACAGUUCCAUCUUUCUUGAAUACUGGAGGAAGUUUCUGUAACUGUUCCAGGGUGGUUUGGGGCCGAGCAUGCUCGUCCACCUGCAUUGUCUGUUUCCCUUUCUUUGUCUUCACUUCAAUUGGUGCCAUUUCAUCAUUAAAGUAGCCAGCAUCAUUAGCUGAAAAAUAGUAGAGAGACUAUCAUAAGAAUAAAAAAGAGAAACAUGAAAAUAAAUCACACAUAUUAUUCAAUUUAAUUUCUCAUCUACCCUUUCCUCACAGUCUAGUUUAAUAUUGAGUCUUUAUUAAUUUUUGAGACAGAGUCUCACGUUGUCACCCGGGCUGGAGUGCAAUGGCACAGUCUCGGCUCACUGCAACCUCUGCCUCCCAGGUUCAGGCGAUUCUCUUGCCUCAGCCUCCCCAGUAGCUGGGAUUAUAGGUGCCCACGACCAUGCCCAGCUAAUUUUUUUAUAUUUUUAGUAGAGACAGGGUUUCACCAUGUUGGCCACACUAGUCUCGAACUCAUGUCCUCGUGAUCCGCCCUCCUUGGCCUCCCAAAGUGCUGGGAUUACAGAUAUGAGCCACCACGCUCAGCCUGAGUCUUUACUAUUUACUUACACAACUUACCUUCUGUAUUGGAGGAUUUACGAUACCGUCAUGUGUUUUUAUGUAGAUGCAUUUUGCAUCUUUUAAAAAUUAUUAUAUUUUUUUAACCACAAUUUUUUUUUUCACCAGGUACUGCUAAGACUGUUAGCAGCAUUUGUCUGUUACCUAUAGAUGUAAUGGCACUAAAUGGAUUUAAUGCCCCUUUUAAACUUCUUUUGGUGAGAUAAGCAAUUAAAAAGUUACCAAGCUGUCUAUGCCACAAAGUAAUCUAACUGAAACUUAAUAGUGAUAGGCAACCUGAAGAAAUUAUGGGAGCAAUCACUAAUACAAUUAUAAGUAAAACAUCUUACCUACUUUGACCUCCACUGACUAGAAUGUACUGUAGUAAUCUAUAGCUUUCGAAAUACGGUCAGGAAUAAUACUAACCUUAAUUUUGAUAUCACUUUACAAUUGGCAAAAUACUUUCCUUAUAUGCCCUUAUUUGGUUUUAAAACAACCUUAUUAGAAUAGGGAAGGCAAAUAUUGUUAUCUCUAUCAUCUUACAGAGGUUCAGUGAAUAAACGAUUUGACUGAGCUUGAUAACUUGUGCAUGGUAGAAGUAGAAACAGAACUGAUAACUCUUGACUUCUAGACCAAUCCUCUUCCACUAUGAACAUAUAACUAAAAAAACACAGAUGAGUUGGAUGGCAUCAGCUCUAUUCCACUUAUCCUUCUGAAAUGCUAAGAUGGACUUUAUCCUCAUUACUUCAAGCAUUUAAUACUCCUAAAUAAGAGUUGCCACUUGCUUUAACAGUUUAAUUUUUUAAAUAUCACAUUUCUUCAACUUGCUGCACUGCUAAAAGAACUGCUGUCACGUUGCCUGUUUUGGACUGGCUCUAUAGCAACCUGCUGUGCUACACCAGGGCACUCUAACUAGAGUCUCGGACUAGUUCCAAGUCUCUGAGUCAGGUACAAUGAUUCUUAAUUAGGAGUGGGAGAAGGAAAGCAUAAAAGACCCAGUGGGUCUUUUCCAAAUACAUUACCCCUUCUUAUGAUUAUGAUAUGGCUUGUGGGAGAGGACAUCCUCUAUAUUCCAGUUGCCACAGUGAGCUAUCACCUCUGACAGAGUAUAUCUUAUUCCUCAUCAUGUUCUACUGACAACAGGACCAGUUCAGCACAAAGCUCAAGAGUCCAUCUAGGGUCAAGUAGCAAUACCACCUUUUAAGUAGUACUAACUUUUUCAAAAGAGAAAUUCCCAGUUAAUUUUGCAAUAAUUAAUAAAAUAUCUGAUCAUCUAAAACCAAAGGAAUAAUGAAAAGAUGUAAUGAUUCUUAAAGGUAUGAUUUGUAAAUAUUAUAUAACCAUAAGAGAAAUGAUGAAAAUAUUUCCUAUAGAUAUUUAUUCUAUAGAUACUGAUAUUUUCCAGUUUCACUCACCAGUUUUCCAUCUCUGCUGUGACUGCAGGGCGUAUUUGUCACAUUCUUCUCUGCUUAUUUUGUGUUUUACAGCAAGAUUCUCUGCAGUCAUUGCCAUGGGGAGCUGGACAUGCGGAUCUGUUAAUCCUACCCAUAAAGAAUCUUCCAGCUAUUAAAAGACAUUAAUAAAGUGACUUGUUAAGGCAUUACCUUUUAAAAGUAAUAUGUUAUAAUUUCUUUAAAUAAUCAACACUUCCAAUAAACAAAAGUAAAAUUAA